AUGAAUGAUAGUCUCUGUCCAAUCUUGUCAUGGAAUGUUCGCGGCCUUAAUCAGCCGGCGAAGCGCGCGGCAAUCUGCGAAGUAGUUACGGCAAACAGGGCUGCAAUCCUAUGCCUGCAAGAAACCAAGAUAGAUAUCUGGACGCCCAGCCUCGUCAGGGAAAUCGGCGGAGCCGCCCUGACUGAAUGUGUAGUCCUCCCUGCGAUCGGCUCCCGCGGUGGAGCUGCUAUCUUCUGGAACAGUGAGCUGGUCACCAUUGCAUCACACGCCAUUGGCGAGUUUGCGAUCAUUGCAAAAGUAACUCUUCUCCGGCAAUCCAAAAGCUUCUGGCUCACCAUCGUGUACGGCCCAGCUGACGACGCCAGGAAGAAUGCUUUC
rnacentral:rRNA from 1 species